GCGGUAGUGGUGGAAUUGGUAGACACGCUACCUUGAGGUGGUAGUGGCGAAAGCUGUGGGGGUUCGAGUCCCCCCUUCCGCACCA
rnacentral:tRNA from 3 species